UUCGUUGCUACACGAAGAACUUACCUGGUUGACAUAGCAGUGGUAGGGAAGAGAAAUCGGACCGACCCUUCGGGAGCUGUUACAGGUGUUGCAUGGCUGUCGUCAGCUCGUGUCGUGAGAUGUUCGGUUAAGUCCGCUAACGAGCGCAACCCGCGUUGUGUGUUAUAUGUGUCACACAAUACCGCCGGUAUUAAGCCGGAGGAAGGUGCGGAUGACGUCAAGUCAGCAUGACCUUUAUAUCCAGGGCUACACACACGCUACAAUGGACAGUACAACAGGUUGCCAAGCCGCGAGGCGGAGCCAAUCCUCUAAAGCUGUCCUCAGUUCAGAUUGCAGGCUGCAACUCGCCUGCAUGAAGUUGGAGUUGCUAGUAACCGCAGGUCAGCUAUACUGCGGUGAAUACGUUCCCGGGGAUU
rnacentral:rRNA from 1 species